GAAGGUACAGCUUAAGUGUUAAAGUGCAUGUCUAUCAUGCAUGAGGCACUGGGUUCAAUCCCCAGUAUCUCCU
rnacentral:tRNA from 1 species